AUGGCAACAGGCGAGUUCGAGGAGUGCGUCAAUGAAGGCUCGGAGAUUUUGAGCUAUGACUCGGGCACUGCCAAGGCGUACUACCGAAGGGGUCAGGCGUACAAAGCGCUGGGAAACCUCCAGGCUGCUGUUGCUGACCUGAGUAAAGCCCAUGAGAUGUCUCUGGAGGACGAAACUGUCGCUCAAGUUCUGAGAGAGGCGCAAGAAAUACUUGAAACCCAAGGGGGAGCAGCAAACCUGCCAAAGGGAGUUGUCACUGAAGAAGUUGUAGAAGAAGAUAUUAGUUUUCAUCUGUCUACUACUACUACUACUACUACUACUACUACUACUACUGAGUAUACUGCUUCACAACCACAUGACGGAGCACGAAACUCAGUACAAUCUGACUCUUUAGAAAGCUUGGUAAAUAUGUCUCAGGUUGCUUCUUCAUCAAGCGGAACAAUCCCUGUUGCUCCAGAUUUUGGUUCCAGUAUGCCAGGAAUUUCACCGGCUGGCAUGGUUGGUAUGACGGACCCUGCUAUGUGGGAGAUGUUUACAUCUGGAGAACAUGAGUCCCGAUGA
rnacentral:rRNA from 1 species